rnacentral:rRNA from 1 species
GGAUACGGCCAUACUGCGUUCAGAAAGCACCGCUUCCCAUCCGAACAGCGAAGUUAAGCUACGCCAGGCGGUGCUAGUACUGGGGUGGGCGACCACCCGGGAAUCCACCGUGCCGUAUCCU